GACAUUAAGACGUUAAUUAAUCGAUUAGGUACCAAUUUUGGGUGUGACGAGAGUGCUAACCCUUCCUCGCGCGUAACCGACUCCCAAACUCGUUUUCUCAAUUUCCGUAGACCAAAAUCAUUUGUUUUAAUAAAUCGAAAUAUUUUAUUAAAACGACCAAAUUUCUAGGUGAUUCAAUAACACCUAAAUAAAAAGGAUUGGUGGCGACUCCAUUCUCGUUUUUAAAUAAGUCGACGCCCUUUAUACAAAAAAAUGGUUUCGACAGGGUCCAAUAAAAAAUUUAGGCUCAUUUGUUGGACCCGGGCUUGGCCCGACCCGAAAAAUAGGCUUAAAAUUUU
rnacentral:lncRNA from 1 species